rnacentral:rRNA from 1 species
UAGCCUUGACAUACUACAGAAUUUGACAGAGAUGUUGAAGUGCCUUCGGGAGCUGUAAUACAGGUGCUGCACGGCUGUCGUCAGCUCGUGUCGUGAGAUGUUGGGUUAAGUCCCGCAACGAGCGCAACCCUCGUCCUUAGUUACUAACGGUUUGGCCGAGGACUCUAAGGAGACUGCCUUCGUAAGGAGGAGGAAGGUGAGGACGACGUCAAGUCAUCAUGGCCCUUACGGCUAGGGCAACACACGUGCUACAAUGGUUAGGACAAUGAGAAGCGAUACCGCGAGGUGGAGCAAAUCUAUAAACCUAAUCUCAGUUCGGAUAGCAGUCUGCAACUCGACUGCUUGAAGCUGGAAUCACUAGUAAUCGUAAAUCAGCAAUGUUACGGUGAAUACGUUCCCGGGUCU